AGGAAAAAAUAAGGAAAAAGAAAAAAGGUCCAAUUGAACAGCCUUUGCGAAACUAUGCUGCAGGUCCUACCUUUCAAAGAAUCGCAUCCAGUGCUCUCUUCCACAGCGCCUUCUCUGGGUCCCUUCUUCCCUGGAAAUCUGAGGAGCAUUUUUUAACCUCACGUAUGACCUGUAUCAUUGCAUAGAGAGUGAAAUCUCUUUCGAAGACAGGCUUUAUGCUUGAAUCAUUUUUUCAUUCCUUCAAAGUGCUUACAUAGAGAAGGACAAUGAAUAAUUCGAUGAGUGAAUGAACGUACAGCUAACAAAGUCUUUGCAACAUGACUUCUUAAGCCAAUUCUUUCACAUAGUUAGAAGAGAUUAAUUAUUGUUCACAGAAUUUCCUGGAAGGAUGUUAGAUAUGAGUUAAACUGGUCAAUAAUGACAGGAAAAAAACCCUUCUAGGGAGUAUGGUGUUUUGCUCUUGCUAAUCAGAUUACACAGAGCAGACUUUGGGAAAGUAUCAGCAUACAGAGCUGAGAGCAGGCCCGAUUACGUGUGUCACUACUAUAUAUUGUCAUUUGUGUAUUAUGAUUCACAAUUAGAUAGCUCGAGUUCUAACUGCCUGGUAAACAUAAGCAAGGAAAGAGAAAAGAUCUGUUAGGAGGAAGAAAAAAAAAGAAAAGUGCUUAAUGCUUCAGAAAGUUGGUAACUGAAAAAUAUUUUACAUUCCAGCAAUGCACUUAUCCUUGUCGUGUACCCUACAAACAUUUACCUUCAACACGAGCAUCAUAUGGUUCAGAGUCUGGCUUCUCAAUACCUUUUAACUUAAGAGAGAGAGUGUCCAGUUGUGGCUGAGGCUCAGCCUCGGAAGGUACAGACCGUAAAAGGCACACAGUAAAUAGAUGACAAAGACCAAGCCAGGAGCCACGUCUCCUGCUCCAGAGUCAAUGUUCUCGAAACCACACCGCUGCAAGGAAGCGCAGAAAGCUGAAGGAGCACCUGAUGGAAAGAUGUUUCCGUGAAGCAGAACAGAGAAAAGAGUGACCUCCGACGGCUGAAGCAGAAGGUUGUUUUUUUUGAUCAUGACACAUGAAAUUAAAGGUCCUUAUAUUCCACAUCAAAUAGGGAGUCUGUGCUAAGUUCCUAUCUGACUUCAUGUAAGUCACAAGAUUUAGCUGAUGACACGGCCCCAUGAGAGACAGCCGCAGCCAUCUUACAUCCAGCCAGCUGCCCCCGGGAGCCUUUCUCAUGGCCAAGGCACCACACUGCAGGAAAAAAUGUAAGAGAAUUGAACCACGAAGAGAAAAAAGGUGUGUUGAAAUUGGCUCUGUCACCCGCGGAGAUAAGAUCAUGCCAUCAAGGAAAAGAUGCCGUUCCAUCUGUCUUCGAGAAAUCCGAUCACAGACUGAAACACAGUGCUUCCUUCUCAAGGUCUGGUGGAGACAGAAAAAGCAGGCAGGUUCCAAGCGGCACCACAGGAGAAACGCCCACACCUGCAGGCUGUUUUAAGCCGUGGAUGGACAACACAGUAAAAUAAAAUGAGACUCCACAUCUAACUUCUCUGACACUGCUUACUCCAGCAGGACUUGGUGCAUGUCUGACGGGAAGGCCUUUGCUGUUAAUAUUUAAAAAAUGAAAUGUGUGAAUGGUAGCUGACUCCCGUCCACCUUGUAGUAUAAGGAUUUAGAAGUCACUACUGGAAAAAACAUGUUAGAUGUUUUGUAUCCCUGGGGUUCCUUACAUCUUUAAAAGGUCUGCUUAGCACUCCUGGAGGUCACAGCUCUCAGAGCCAAUCAAAGACAUCUUGAGCUUUGCUCUGCACUGUAGCUGUUUUCCUACUUGCCACACUGCCUGACUAGCGACAAUCAAAUAUGUCGCUACACCAUCGACAGAUGCCCCUUCCUAUCGGUGUUCCCCGGCCGUACAGGGCUCCCCGGAGUUUGCCAGCCCAGUUUUCAUUCCGUUCCAAUACAGCAGUUUUUACUUUACAAUGUCCACUCCUCUGUAGUUAACAUCACUUAUCCAACAAUCAGCAGAAAUUACUUCCGCGAGCAAACGCGUUCUUCCACGGGAGCUCAGACCAGCGAGUCCAGAAUGCCACUCUAGCGGAAGAAUUCUGACACUUUAAAAUAUUCUCCCCUGUCAAGAACACUUCGUAUCCAUUUCAAGGUCUAGAUUCCUGUCCAUCAAGUGGCCCCACUUCGAUGACCAACAAGCAAACACAUACUCAUCUGAGGACUAAGUACUUUUUCAUGGUACUGAGCAGGUAGCACUGCCUUGUUAAGGGUGAACACAGGGGGGCACCUGAGCACACUGCCUAGCACAGAACAAGCAUUCAAAGAAGUUAAUUCUCUCUCCUUAACUUCUUUUUCCUCUAUUUAUUUUAGAUCUUCAGACUUUGAGAGGCCCUUACUUCAUACCACUAACCAAAUCUUAAUGUUGUUGUAAACUCUUAGAUUUACAAUUAAAGGAAGAAAUUAAACCCUAGGCCAAGAUGUGCAGCCUAUCCAGAUAACUCACUUAGUUUUGGAAAUACUGAAACUGAAGUAGAAGAGAGAACCCCAAUUUAUAAAUUAUUUGUGUAUCCAAAGUUCAUUUGUAAAGUGGUAUAAACACCCUUUUCCCUAGAAAUCAUGAUGUUAUAUUUAGGAUCUCAGGCUAUCCCACAAAAGCCUAUUUAACCCACCAUAUACCUGAACGAUAAUACUAGCGUUUUCGCCUGGAUCCAGCACAGCGCCUUGGACAUCAGCAGGCACUCAGAUGCCUGCUGGAUAAAGUGAGGAAUUCCCGCAGCAGUGGGAAAGGUGCGCAGCUGGCGCUGCAUCAAAUCUUUAUAGAGUCCAAGUCUGUGUUUCUCUUCCUCCCCCCUCCCUGCUCCUUUGCUAGUCCUCUCUUCCCUAAGUGACCAGGGCCCUCACAUCGUACAUAUUCUAAAGUCAGCACCUCACAAGAGCGCCAGCUUUUAAUGUUUCAAAGGUAACUGUUCCUUCUCCCUGCCAAAGUUAUCUCAAGCAGCUGAUCUCAUCUGUACAUCAGGAGGGAAGAAAUCUGAUUACAUUAUUUCACAAUGAGAUGUGAACAUCUGUAAACAUUUCACAAUGAAUUCUGCACUUUAACUUGUCCAGAGAUUUCCGACUCUAAAAGAUGCCUGACUGCCCAAACAAACCUACUUUUGUGCAGAGUAAAGAGAAAUGAAUGAAAUGGGUCUACACAGCAGAGAGGAAUACUGCUUGGGGGAGUGUUUCUAAGAUAUUUCUGCUUUCAAAGCAACUUCCUUCUCCCCUGACACUUUGAAAUUAGUGCUUUUUCACAAGUUCCCUAACUUCUUCAACUUCCCAUUGUCAAGCAGGUGUAUGACACUGCUGAUGAACAGAGUGUGCAUGGGGACCGUGUAAGAUGAGUCUGGACUGGACAGGGAUUUUCCCAACUUCAAACAUAAGCCAAGGCAUUCAAGAUUCAACCCGGUAUGUCCUGAAAACAUAGCCACCUCCCAAGCCAGCAGCAGAAGCUACAGGGAAGAUUCAGAUGGUGACACAGGCCAGAAUUCUGGUCUUACUCACCCUGGCAUGGCCAACAGGGCAUAUUAGAUAUCUCAAAAAACAAAAGUGUCAGGGGGGAGAAGGGAAUACCACAUAUCUCCAAUAAACCCUUUUGUUUGUGGGGGAGAACGAACCAGAAUUAAGAAUCAACAAAUGUAUCCUAAAUUAGAACAAGAAAGCGGGCAAAGAAGGUAAAUACUUUUGGAAAAAGAAGUAAAAAAAAAAAAU